GAUGAACGCUGGCUGCGUGCCUAAUACAUGCAAGUCGAGCGAACGGACGAGAAGCUUGCUUCUCUGAUGUUAGCGGCGGACGGGUGAGUAACACGUGGAUAACCUACCUAUAAGACUGGGAUAACUUCGGGAAACCGUAGCUAAUACCGGAUAAUAUUUUUAACCGCAUGGUUCAAAAGUGAAAGACGGUCUUGCUGUCACUUAUAGAUGGAUCCGCGCUGCAUUAGCUAGUUGGUAAGGUAACGGCUUACCAAGGCAACGAUGCAUAGCCGACCUGAGAGGGUGAUAGGCCACACUGGAACUGAGACACGGUCCAGACUCCUACGGGAGGCAGCAGUAGGGAAUCUUCCGCAAUGGGAGAAAGCCUGACGGAGCAACGCCGCGUGAGUGAUGAAGGUCUUCGGAUCGUAAAACUCUGUUAUUAGGGAAGAACAUAUGUGUAAGUAACUGUGCACAUCUUGAAGGUACCUAAUCAGAAAGCCACGGCUAACUACGUG
rnacentral:rRNA from 1 species